GAUGAACGCUGGCGGCGUGCCUAAUUCAUGCAAGUCGAGCGAACGGACGAGAAGCUUGCUUCUCUGAUGUUAGCGGCGGACGGGUGAGUAACACGUGGAUAACCUACCUAUAAGACUGGGAUAACUUCGGGAAACCGGAUCUAAUACCGGAUGAUAUUUUGAACCGCGUGGUUCAAAAGUGAAAGACGGUCUUGCUGUCACUUAUAGAUGGAUCCGCGCUGCAUUAGCUAGUUGGUAAGGUAACGGCUUACCAAGGCAACGAUGCAUAGCCGACCUGAGAGGGUGAUCGGCCACACUGGAACUGAGACACGGUCCAGACUCCUACGGGAGGCAGCAGUAGGGAAUCUUCCGCAAUGGGCGAAAGCCUGACGGAGCAACGCCGCGUGAGUGAUGAAGGUCUUCGGAUCGUAAAACUCUGUUAUUAGGGAAGAACAUAUGUGUAAGUAACUGUGCACAUCUUGACGGUACCUAAUCAGAAAGCCACGGCUAACUACGUG
rnacentral:rRNA from 1 species